CCGUCCCCUGCUCGUGUAAGGCCGCCGGUGCCCCUCCGCAGUGCGGUAGGGCCGGCACACCUCCCUCCCCUCCAUUACGAGGGCGUUGUUUGGCCCUCCCAUGGCACUGUGGGAGCUGGAAGGGCUGCCUUUUUGCUUUCUCUCCUCGGCCAUGUGUCUUGAUGGCCGCCCGACAGUCUGUCCAGACCAGGAGAACCUGUUGGAAGACGUGUGAUUGUACAGUAGCCAUGGGUGAUCUUCCUAGCAGUUCACAAGCUCACAGGGACAGGAAUGUGGUGAAAGCCUCUACAUGAGAAGAGCGUGUGCUAGAAGGUGACAAAGUAGUGACACGCCAGCUCUCCUGCAGUUUUAUGAGGAAGAAUUGUUAGAACCAGCCUGAAACCAGUGGCAAUGCAAGACUACUCCAUAAGAAACAAAAAGCUGUUAAGGACUUGGGAACGUUAGGCCUUGAAAUGCUUAUGGUAACACGAGGUCUUUCUAACUGUGUUAGAACAGUGUUUAUGUAGACAUAAAAAAAAUAAAUAUAUUUAUUUGUUAUUAGAA